ACAGAUGUCAUUGUUUGACAAUUUUAAUGCCAUCUGCAAUGUCUUUCAAAAAUCUUGAAACUUUGGAAGUAUACAAUUGCGAUGGAUUAGCCAAGGUACUAACAAGUGAAGCAACCAAAACUCUUGUCAAUCUCACAACAAUGAGAAUAAAAGAGUGCAAGCUAUUGAUAGAGGUAAUAGCGAACGAGGGAGGCAAAGAAGAAGAGAUUGUUUUUGGCCAAUUGAAAGUUCUGGAGCUUCACUAUUUAUCAAGCCUUGCAUUCUUUUGCUCAGCCAAUUAUUCCUUCAAAUUCCCUUGUUUGGAGCAAGUUAUUGUGAGUCAAUGCCCAAAAUUGAAUGUCUUUUCGCAAGGAGUUUUAAGUACACCGUUGUUAAAGAAAGUACAAUUGACUAAACCAGAUGAUGAUAUAGAAUAUUUUUGGAAGGAUGAUCUCAAUUCUACUAUUCAACAAAUAUUUACAGACAUGGUUGGCUUCCGUAACCUUGAACAUUUGACACUCUCAGAAUUCCCUAGCAUGAAAGAAAAAUUAUGGAAUGGCCAAUUGCCAAUGGACAUAUUCUGGAAUUUAAAGUCGCUAGUGGUGGAUAAAUUUUCAAAUAUAUCAAGUGGUAUUCCAUUGAAUGUGUUAUGCCACUUCAACAAUCUGGAAUUGUUAGAGGUAAAAAGUUGUGAGUCACUAGAACAAGUGUUUGAUUUGGAGGUAAAUCAUCAAGAAAUUUUGGGCUUAAAGAAAUUCAGAUCAUUGAAAAUUGACAAUUGUAACAGCUUGAAAUAUAUAUUGACUCCAUCUGUACUAUUGCGCCUUGUUCAACUCCAAGAGAUAGAAGUGAAAAAUUGUGCUUUGAUAGAAGAAAUCAUCAAAAGCGAGGGGGAGAAAGAUGCGGGAAGUGAUAAAAUUAUAAUCCCUCUAUUGAACUCUAUCAUGUUUAAGUCAUUGCCUAACUUGACAAGCUUCUAUUCGGGAAGUAAAAUUUUGGAAUUUCCUCCCUUACAAACUAUUAUUGUUAAGGACUGUGAAAAGAUCUACAUGAAGGAGCUCAGUAUUCAUUUUUCAUCCCUUUUCACUGUUAAGGUUGUAUUACCCAGCUUGGAAACAUCUUCUUGCUUCCAGAAUUUAACAAUCUUGGUUAUCGAUGGCUUUGAUCAUUUGCAAUAUCUAUUCCCAUCUUCUAUGGUGAAAAGUCUUUUCAAACUGAGGAAGCUUAAGAUAUCUAAUUGUAUGUUAAUGGAAAGAGUAAUAGAUGAAGAUGAAGGGAGAGCAGAAAUGAUGUUGUUUCCUAAACUGUACCAGCUGAAGCUUAGAGAUCUUCCGAAACUCACAACAUUCUGCAACUCCUCAGCAAAUUAUGUUGAAAUGUCUUCCUUAUUCAGACUCUGGAUUGAUAAUUGCCCUGGCAUUGAAACAUUCAUCUCCAGUUAUGUAUGUCGUGAUAUGACAUUAUCAAGCAAAGAACCUGAAGGAAUGAGUGCAAAGGAGGACUCUAUUCACGUGCCAUCUCUUUUUGAUCAGAAGGUAAGACUACCUAGUUUGGAGAGAUUGCAAAUCAGCCAUGCUGAUCAGCUGGAAAAAUUAUGGAACAAUCAGGUCUCCAUGGAUUCCUUCAAUAAAUUAAACCGCUUGUUUGUACAAUUUUGUAAAAAUCUUGCAAGUGUUUUUCCAUCUAACAUGCUUGGGAAGCACCAGAAACUGGAGUGCUUGGAAGUACAAAAUUGUGAUUCAGUUGAGGAGAUAUUUGAAGUGCUCGAGAAGAGGUCUAGUAUGAUGGAGGAAAUUGUUGCCAAGGGGGAAGCAGUCCGCAGGUUUGUAUUCUCCAAAUUAACCCACCUGUCUCUAGAGAUGCUACCAAGUCUCAAGAGUUUCUACCCAGAUAUGCAUAUUUCAGAAUGGCCAACUUUGGAAGAUUUGAAGGUUUAUGGUUGUAAUAAUGUGGAGAUCCUUGCUUCAGAAUUAUUGAGCAUCCCAGGAAGUCAUGGAGACAGUCAACAACCACUGUUCUUCAUUUACGAGGAUGCAUAUCCUAGCUUGGAAAAACUAGAGUUGUGUGGAAUGCCCAGGUUAAAGCAUCUAUGGAGAGGAAAUUUUCAGCCUUGCAAUGCUUUUCAAAAUCUCCAGACUCUGAAAGUAUCAGAAUGUGACAGUUUAGAAAAUUCAUGGUCCUCAUCAUUGACUUUCCAGAACUUGACAACUCUGGAAGUUUCAAAGUGUGAUGAAUUGAGAUAUUUAUUGACCCCCUCAAAAACUAAAACUUUGGGUCAACUUACAAGACUGAAUGUAUCCGAUUGCAAACAGAUGGAGGAAAUUAUAACACAUUUGGGAGAUGAAGUAAUGGAGAAUUCAAUUGUUUUCAGCAAAUUGGGUUGUUUGGAACUUCACUGCUUGUCCAGCCUUAAAAGCUUCUGUUGUGGGGAUUAUUCUCUAGAAUUCUUAUCCUUGAAAAAAGUAAUUGUUAGGCAAUGCUUGGAGAUGGAGACUUUUUGUCAUGGAGUUUUGAGUACACCAAAGCUCGAAGGACUACAGUUGAUAGAAGGAGGAGAGGAUGAAGUAGAAGAAUGUUGGGAAGGCAACCUUAAUUCCACCAUACAGUAUUUGUACAACAAUACGAAAGUGCGGAGCUUCAAAGAAGAUUGAGGUCAUUCCUAUAAAUAGUUUGCGAUAGACCAUGGCUUCAUUUCCUCUGGUUGAAGAGGGACUUUGUUUCUGCCAUCUUAACUGAUUUGAUCCUCACUUUUUGUUGAAUGUGGAGUGCCAUCUGUUUACACAUUUUGUCCGGUUCAAGAAAACUAUCCAGUGUAUGGCUCAUAAGAAAUAGACAACGGCUCCUGAAAUAGCUAUGGUUUCUGUCUCAGAAGUUGCAUCAAAGGCUACAUCAGGUCAAGCAAGUUCAAAGGCUAAAACAAGUUUUGUCUAUUGACUGUCAAGUCCUGGUUUGACUGGUCGAUCCAGUUUUUAAAACAAUGUGUGGUAUGCAUUUAAAACAAGAUGGCAAG